AUGAUGGGGAGCAGGGUUGCCGCGUCGCUGCUCCGCCGGGGCAGGGACCAGGCGUCCGCCCUGAUGACGAUCCCUCGCCUCCCGAGGAGCGCUCCAGCUCCGCCCCCCGCUCCUUCUAGGGUUCGAUCCGGCUCCUGCGGCGGCGGCGGCCGCCACCUCCCUCCUCCUCCACCCCCGCAAUCGGCUGGUGGCUUAUUCGCCGCCUCCCGAGUUGCCUCGUACCACGCCUUCCGCUCUUUCGGCCCCAAGAGUUUUAUGGGCCAAUGCACACGGAAAAUGUCUACUACUGCAGCUACACUGAAUUCAAAUAUGGCAAACGCAACAGCAAAUUCAGGACUGAAGCUGCUAGUUACCAAAGGGCCUCAAGCACAGAAGGCAGUUGGUAUAUGGCUCUUUGGAUGUGCUGCCUGGGUAUUCAGCAUGGUCAUACUUGGUGGAGUCACUCGGCUCACACGUUCGGGGCUAUCAAUGACUGACUGGAAGUUCGCCGGGGGCUUGCCUCCAAUGUCAGAAGAAGAGUGGCUACUGGAAUUUCAGAAAUACAAGCAGUCACCUGAGUACAUGAGGGUGAACAAAGGAAUGAACCUUGAAGAUUUCAAAUUUAUAUACUGGAUGGAGUAUGCACACAGAAUGUGGGGAAGAGCUUUGGGCUUUGUAUUUGCUGUUCCUUUUGCAUACUUCGUUGCAAAAGGCUAUGUUACCCGCCAACUUGGCGUCAGGCUCUCUGCUCUUUUUGCACUUGGUGGUGCGCAAGGACUGAUUGGCUGGUGGAUGGUGAAAAGUGGUCUUGAGGAACCAGCAUCUGAGUAUGUUGAACCAAGGGUUAGCCCAUACAGGCUGGCAGCUCAUCUGACCUCUGCAUUUGUUAUAUAUUGUGGUAUAUUGUGGACUGCUCUGUCAGUAGUAAUGCCAGACCCUCCGGCUGAAUCAAUGAAAUGGGUAAAAGGGGCAGCAAAAUUUAGAAAGCUGGCAAUUCCUGCCAGUGCUGUUGUAGGCAUUACUGCCAUAUCUGGAGCGUUCGUUGCAGGGAAUGAUGCAGGGCGUGCAUACAAUACAUUUCCGAAGAUGGGUGACAGUUGGAUUCCAGAAGAUGUGUUCAGUAUGGAGCCUUUUAUACGUAAUUUCUUUGAAAAUACAUCUACUGUGCAGCUUAAUCACCGAAUUCUUGCUACAAGCACCUUAUUGUCUGUGAGUGCCCUAUGGCUGGCUGCAAGGAAAGUAGAUAUGCAUCCAGCGGUCAAGUCUCUGGUUGGAAGCACACUUGGGAUGGCUGCUCUUCAGGUUACAUUGGGAAUAUCUACACUUUUGAUGUAUGUUCCUACCUCAUUAGGCUCAGCUCACCAAGCUGGGGCAUUGACACUACUGUCACUGAUGAUCCUUCUCACUCACACAUUAAGAAGACCAUCACCAGCUCUCUUGAAGUCACUUGCAUCUGCUGUGAAGUCAACCUGA
rnacentral:rRNA from 1 species